UAGAGUUUGAUCAUGGCUCAGAACGAACGCUGGCGGCAGGCUUAACACAUGCAAGUCGAACGACAUAGUGGCAGACGGGUGAGUAACGCGUGGGAACGUACCCUUCACUACGGAAUAGCUUCUGGAAACGGAAGGUAAUACCGUAUACGCCCUUCGGGGGAAAGAUUUAUCGGUGAAGGAUCGGCCCGCGUUAGAUUAGUUUGUUGGUGGGGUAAUGGCCUACCAAGACUACGAUCUAUAGCUGGUCUGAGAGGAUGAUCAGCCACACUGGGACUGAGACACGGCCCAGACUCCUACGGGAGGCAGCAGUGGGGAAUCUUGCACAAUGGGCGAAAGCCUGAUGCAGCCAUGCCGCGUGAAUGAUGACGGCCUUAGGGUUGUAAAAUUCUUUCGCCAGGGAUGAUAAUGACAGUACCUGGUAAAGAAGCCCCGGCUAACUUCGUGCCAGCAGCCGCGGUAAUACGAAGGGGGCUAGCGUUGUUCGGAAUUACUGGGCGUAAAGCGCGCGUAGGCGGGCUAUUAAGCCAGAUGUGAAAGCCCGGGGCUCAACCCCGGAAUUGCAUUUGGAACUGGUAGCCUAGAGACCAGGAGAGGUUAGCGGAAUACCGAGUGUAGAGGUGAAAUUCGUAGAUAUUCGGUGGAACACCAGUGGCGAAGGCGGCUAACUGGACUGGUACUGACGCUGAGGCGCGAAAGUGUGGGGAGCAAACAGGAUUAGAUACCCUGGUAGUCCACACCGUAAACGAUGAAUGCUAGUUGUCUGCGCGCAUGCGUGCAGGUGACGCAGCUAACGCAUUAAGCAUUCCGCCUGGGGAGUACGGCCGCAAAGGUUAAAACUCAAAGAAAUUGACGGGGGCCCGCACAAGCGGUGGAGCAUGUGGUUUAAUUCGAAGCAACGCGCAGAACCUUACCCGCGUUUGACAUGCCCUGUUUGGUUACCAGAGAUGGUUUCCUUCAUUUAGUUGGCAGGUGCACAGGUGCUGCAUGGCUGUCGUCAGCUCGUGUCGUGAGAUGUUGGGUUAAGUCCCGCAACGAGCGCAACCCUUAUCCUUAGUUGCCAGCACGUUUGGGUGGGCACUCUAAGGAAACUGCCGGUGCUAAGCCGGAGGAAGGCGGGGAUGACGUCAAGUCCUCAUGGCCCUUACACGCGGGGCUACACACGUGCUACAAUGGCAGUGACAAUGGGAUAAUCCCAAAAAGCUGUCUCAGUUCAGAUUGUCCUCUGCAACUCGAGGGCAUGAAGUUGGAAUCGCUAGUAAUCGUGGAUCAGCAUGCCACGGUGAAUACGUUCCCGGGCCUUGUACACACCGCCCGUCACAUCAUGGGAGUUGGAUCUACCCGAAGACUGUGCGCUAACUUCGGAGGCAGCAGGCCACGGUAGGUUCAGCGACUGGGAUGAAGUCGUAACAAGGUA
rnacentral:rRNA from 1 species